AUUGAACGCUGGCGGCAGGCCUAACACAUGCGAGUCGAGCGAGCGGCGGACGGGUGCGUAAUGUCUGGGAAACUGCCUGAUGGAGGGGGAUAACUACUGGAAACGGUAGCUAAUACCGCACACCAUCAGAUGUGCCACGAUGGGAUUAGCUAGUAGGUGGGGUAACGGCUCACCUAGCCGACGCUCCCUAGCUGGUCUGAGAGGAUUACCAGCCACACUGGAACUUAGACACGGUCCAGACUCCUACGGGAGGCAGCAGUGGAGAAUAUUGCACAAUGGGCGCAAGCCUGAUGCAGCCAUGCCGCGUGUGUGAAGAAGGCCUUCGGGUUGUAAAGCACUUUCAGCGGGGAGGCGUUACCCGCAGAAGAAGCACCGGCUAACUCCGUGCCAGCAGCCGCGGUAAUUC
rnacentral:rRNA from 1 species